GAGUUUGAUCCUGGCUCAGAACGAACGCUGGCGGCAGGCUUAACACAUGCAAGUCGAACGAAGUCUUCGGACUUAGUGGCGGACGGGUGAGUAACGCGUGGGAACGUGCCCUUUGGUACGGAAUAGCCCCUGGAAACGGGGAGUAAUACCGUAUGGUGUCUUCGGACUAAAGAUUUAUCGCCAAAGGAUCGGCCCGCGUUGGAUUAGGUAGUUGGUGGGGUAAUGGCCUACCAAGCCGACGAUCCAUAGCUGGUUUGAGAGGAUGAUCAGCCACACUGGGACUGAGACACGGCCCAGACUCCUACGGGAGGCAGCAGUGGGGAAUCUUAGACAAUGGGGGCAACCCUGAUCUAGCCAUGCCGCGUGAUCGAUGAAGGCCUUAGGGUUGUAAAGAUCUUUCGCUGGGGAAGAUAAUGACGGUACCCAGUAAAGAAGCCCCGGCUAACUCCGUGCCAGCAGCCGCGGUAAUACGGAGGGGGCUAGCGUUGUUCGGAAUUACUGGGCGUAAAGCGCGCGUAGGCGGAUUGGAAAGUUGGGGGUGAAAUCCCGGGGCUCAACCCCGGAACUGCCUCCAAAACUAUCAGUCUGGAGUUCGAGAGAGGUGAGUGGAAUUGCGAGUGUAGAGGUGAAAUUCGUAGAUAUUCGCAGGAACACCAGUGGCGAAGGCGGCUCACUGGCUCGAUACUGACGCUGAGGUGCGAAAGUGUGGGGAGCAAACAGGAUUAGAUACCCUGGUAGUCCACACCGUAA
rnacentral:rRNA from 1 species